AGUGGCGGACGGGUGAGUAACGCGUGAGAAUCUGCCUUGGGGUCGGGGACAACCACUGGAAACGGUGGCUAAUACCGGAUAAGCCGAUUGGUGAAAGAUUUAUUGCCCGAAGAGGAGCUCGCGUCUGAUUAGCUAGUUGGUGAGGUAAGAGCUCACCAAGGCAGCGAUCAGUAGCUGGUCUGAGAGGACGAUCAGCCACACUGGGACUGAGACACGGCCCAGACUCCUACGGGAGGCAGCAGUGGGGAAUUUUCCGCAAUGGGCGAAAGCCUGACGGAGCAAGACCGCGUGAGGGAGGAAGGCUCUUGGGUUGUAAACCUCUUUUCUCAGGGAAGAAGCUCUGACGGUACCUGAGGAAUCAGCCUCGGCUAACUCCGUGCCAGCAGCCGCGGUAAUACGGAGGAGGCAAGCGUUAUCCGGAAUUAUUGGGCGUAAAGCGUCCGCAGGUGGCAAUUCAAGUCUGCUGUCAAAGCACGAGGCUUAACUCCGUUAAGGCAGUGGAAACUGAAUAGCUAGAGUGCCGUAGGGGUAGAGGGAAUUCCCGGUGUAGCGGUGAAAUGCGUAGAGAUCGGGAAGAACAUCGGUGGCGAAAGCGCUCUACUGGACGGCAACUGACACUCAGGGACGAAAGCUAGGGGAGCGAAUGGGAUUAGAUACCCC
rnacentral:rRNA from 1 species